rnacentral:rRNA from 1 species
GACGAACGCUGGCGGCGUGCCUAAUACAUGCAAGUCGAGCGAAUCUUUGGGAGCUUGCUCCCAAAGAUUAGCGGCGGACGGGUGAGUAACACGUGGGCAACCUGCCUAUGAGACUGGGGUAACUCCGGGAAACCGGGGCUAAUACCGGAUAAUCCUUUCCUACCCAUGUAGAAAAGUUGAAAGAUGGUUUCGGCUAUCACUCAUAGAUGGGCCCGCGGCGCAUUAGCUAGUUGGUGAGGUAACGGCUCACCAAGGCGACGAUGCGUAGCCGACCUGAGAGGGUGAUCGGCCACACUGGGACUGAGACACGGCCCAGACUCCUACGGGAGGCAGCAGUAGGGAAUCUUCCGCAAUGGACGAAAGUCUGACGGAGCAACGCCGCGUGAGUGAUGAAGGUUUUCGGAUCGUAAAACUCUGUUGUUAGGGAAGAACAAGUACCGGAGUAACUGCCGGUACCUUGACGGUACCUAACCAGAAAGCCACGGCUAACUACGUGCCAGCCGCCGCCGUAAUAC